rnacentral:tRNA from 1 species
GCCUGGGUGGCUAAGUCGGCUAAGCAUCUGACUUCGGCUCAGAUCAUGAUCUCAUGGUUUGUGGGUUUGAGCCCCCGCAUCAGGCU